CGACCGGCGGACGGGUGCGUAACGCGUAUGUAACCUACCUUUGACAGGGGGAUAACAUCGAGAAAUUGGUACUAAUACCCCAUAACAUCACCGGAGGCAUCUUCGGUGGUUGAAAACUCAGGUGGUCAGAGAUGGACAUGCGUUGUAUUAGCUAGUUGGUGAGGUAACGGCUCACCAAGGCGACGAUACAUAGGGGGACUGAGAGGUCAACCCCCCACAUUGGCACUGAGACACGGACCAAACUCCUACGGGAGGCAGCAG
rnacentral:rRNA from 1 species